rnacentral:rRNA from 1 species
CCCGUAGUUGACGACGUGUGUUCAGUGAAAUCGAGUAGGGCGGGACACGUGAUAUCCUGUCUGAAUAUGGGGGGACCAUCCUCCAAGGCUAAAUACUACUGACUGACCGAUAGUGAACCAGUACCGUGAGGGAAAGGCGAAAAGAACCCCUGUGAGGGGAGUGAAAUAGAACCUGAAACCGUGUACGUACAAGCAGUAGGAGCAGGCUUGUCCUGUGACUGCGUACCUUUUGUAUAAUGGGUCAGCGACUUAUAUUCAGUGGCAAGGUUAACCAUCUAGGGGAGCCGUAGGGAAACCGAGUCUUAACUGGGCGUUCAGUCUCUGGAUAUAGACCCGAAACCAGGUGAUCUAGCCAUGGGCAGGUUGAAGGUUGAGUAACAUCAACUGGAGGACCGAACCGACUAAUGUUGAAAAAUUAGCGGAUGACUUGUGGCUAGGGGUGAAAGGCCAAUCAAACCUGGAGAUAGCUGGUUCUCCCCGAAAGCUAUUUAGGUAGCGCCUCGGACGAAUACUACUGGGGGUAGAGCACUGUUAAGGCUAGGGGGUCAUCCCGACUUACCAACCCUUUGCAAACUCCGAAUACCAGUAAGUACUAUCCGGGAGACACACGGCGGGUGCUAACGUCCGUCGUGGAGAGGGAAACAACCCAGACCGCCAGCUAAGGUCCCAAAUUACUACUAAGUGGGAAACGAUGUGGGAAGGCUCAGACAGCCAGGAUGUUGGCUUAGAAGCAGCCAUCAUUUAAAGAAAGCGUAAUAGCUCACUGGUCGAGUCGGCCUGCGCGGAAGAUGUAACGGGGCUAAGUA